rnacentral:rRNA from 1 species
UACGUAGGGUGCAAGCGUUGUCCGGAAUUAUUGGGCGUAAAGAGCUCGUAGGCGGUCUGUCGCGUCGGCUGUGAAAACUCGGGGCUCAACCCCGAGCCUGCAGUCGAUACGGGCAGACUAGAGUCCGGAAGAGGAGAGUGGAAUUCCUGGUGUAGCGGUGAAAUGCGCAGAUAUCAGGAAGAACACCCGUGGCUAAGGCGGCUCUCUGGGACGGUACUGACGCUGAGACGCGAAAGCGUGGGGAGCAAACAGG